AGGGUUCGAUUCUGGCUCAGGAUGAACGCUAGCUACAGGCUUAACACAUGCAAGUCGAGGGGCAGCAUUGGAGUAGCAAUACUUCAGAUGGCGACCGGCGCACGGGUGAGUAACACGUAUCCAACCUGCCGCUUACUCGGGGAUAGCCUUUCGAAAGAAAGAUUAAUACCCGAUGGUAUAAAGAGUUCGCAUGUUCUCUUUAUUAAAGAAUUUCGGUAAGCGAUGGGGAUGCGUUCCAUUAGAUAGUUGGCGGGGUAACGGCCCACCAAGUCUACGAUGGAUAGGGGUUCUGAGAGGAAGGUCCCCCACAUUGGAACUGAGACACGGUCCAAACUCCUACGGGAGGCAGCAGUGAGGAAUAUUGGUCAAUGGACGAGAGUCUGAACCAGCCAAGUAGCGUGAAGGAUGACUGCCCUAUGGGUUGUAAACUUCUUUUAUAAGGGAAUAAAGUGAGGGACGUGUCCCUUUUGUAUGUACCUUAUGAAUAAGGAUCGGCUAACUCCGUGCCAGCAGCUGC
rnacentral:rRNA from 1 species